rnacentral:rRNA from 1 species
UGGGAACAUACCUUUUGGUUCGGAACAACACAGGGAAACUUGUGCUAAUACCGGAUAAGCCCUUACGGGGAAAGAUUUAUCGCCGAAAGAUUGGCCCGCGUCUGAUUAGCUAGUUGGUGAGGUAACGGCUCACCAAGGCGACGAUCAGUAGCUGGUCUGAGAGGAUGAUCAGCCACAUUGGGACUGAGACACGGCCCAAACUCCUACGGGAGGCAGCAGUGGGGAAUAUUGGACAAUGGGCGCAAGCCUGAUCCAGCCAUGCCGCGUGAGUGAUGAAGGCCCUAGGGUUGUAAAGCUCUUUUGUGCGGGAAGAUAAUGACGGUACCGCAAGAAUAAGCCCCGGCUAACUUCGUGCCAGCAGCCGCGGUAAUACGAAGGGGGCUAGCGUUGCUCGGAAUCACUGGGCGUAAAGGGUGCGUAGGUGGGUCUUUAAGUCAGGGGUGAAAUCCUGGAGCUCAACUCCAGAACUGCCUUUGAUACUGAAGAUCUUGAGUUCGGGAGAGGUGAGUGGAACU